CCUACGGGAGGCAGCAGUGGGGGAUAUUGCACAGUGGGGGAAACCCUGAUGCAGCGACGCCGCGUGAGCGAUGAAGUAUUUCGGUAUGUAAAGCUCUAUCAGCAGGGAAGAAAAUGACGGUACCUGACUAAGAAGCCCCGGCUAACUACGUGCCAGCAGCCGCGGUAAUACGUAGGGAGCGAGCGUUGUCCGGAAUUACUGGGUGUAAAGGGUGCGUAGGCGGCCUUGCAAGUCAGGCGUGAAAACCAUGGGCUCAACCCGUGGACUGCGUUUGAAACUGUGAGGCUUGAGUGAAGUAGAGGUAG
rnacentral:rRNA from 1 species